AUUACUUUGACAGAGAAAUUGUAAUAAAUUUAGAAUUUAUAUAUGUAAUAUUUACAAGUAAUA
rnacentral:tRNA from 1 species